rnacentral:rRNA from 1 species
CCUACGGGAGGCAGCAGUGAGGAAUAUUGGUCAAUGGACGAGAGUCUGAACCAGCCAAGUAGCGUGAAGGAUGACUGCCCUAUGGGUUGUAAACUUCUUUUAUAUGGGAAUAAAAUGUUCCACGUGUGGGAUUUUGUAUGUACCAUAUGAAUAAGGAUCGGCUAACUCCGUGCCAGCAGCCGCGGUAAUACGGAGGAUCCGAGCGUUAUCCGGAUUUAUUGGGUUUAAAGGGAGCGUAGGUGGAUUGUUAAGUCAGUUGUGAAAGUUUGCGGCUCAACCGUAAAAUUGCAGUUGAAACUGACAGUCUUGAGUACAGUAGAGGUGGGCGGAAUUCGUGGUGUAGCGGUGAAAUGCUUAGAUAUCACGAAGAACUCCGAUUGCGAAGGCAGUUCACUGGACUGCAACUGACACUGAGGCUCGAAAGUGUGGGUAUCAAACAGGAUUAGGUACCCCUGUAGUC